UCUAUACAGAUCUCUCUCUCCCUCUCUCUCUGCCCCUCCUCUGCUCUCUCUCUCUCAAAAUAAAUGAAUAAGCUUUAAAAAAAAAAAAGAAGAAGAAUUUGUGUAAGACUGUGAACUCGGAAGGCAGAAGUGAAACAACAAACGUUACUCUCUGAAGGUCUUCAUGACUAGAUGCGGUGACAGAAUUAAAGGUUCCAGGCAGUACUUGUUCUCUUACCUCCCACCUCCAGCUUUUCUUCCCAAUUAGUGGCCCUUUGACUAACAGCAGCCUCGGGACCACCACCAUUCAUUUGGUGUGUGGCUCGCUGAAGAGAAGCCCAGCUUCCUUAGGUAAUCCCACAAGCCUUGCGAUCCCACUUUGGUGGCUGAAUGUGCUUGGUGGUUGACUCCUUUCUGAUCCUCCCACUUCCUACUGGACGCCCACUUCCCAGCAACUCCUAUAAUUGUCUUUUGGCCUAAUUUCCAUAAUAAAUUCCUCAUCAUAAAACACACAUGGUUCUGCUUCUAACAUCUCCCUGUUGAUCUCUGAAAACCCACACUGUUUACCCUGGCCAGCAAGGCCUUCUGUGACCAAGGCUCUGACUCUCCAGCAUCAUCUUGCGAAGUUCUUGUUCUUCAAACUGAGUUUCACUCUAGAAUACUCUAGCCUCUGUGUAUCUUAUAUAGUUUCACACCUCUGUGCUUUUUGCUUAUUCUGUUUUUCCCCUCAAAAUACACUCCUUUUGCACUUUUGUGUAAUUAAUUUCUGUUGCUUCCUCAAGCUUAGGCCCAGGUAUUAUCUCCCCCAAGAGUAUUUGGGUGUCACCAUGGACCAGGUUAAGUGCCCCUCCCUUGGGCUUCCAUUGGCCUCUCCAUGAUGUCCCAUAUACAUUGUUUUGAACCCUGCUAUUUCCCCUCCCUGGACUAUAUCUUUCUCGGAGACAGGAGCUAUGUCACAUUUGUUUUUAAAUCCUUAGUGUCUGUACAGAGCCUAACACAAAAUAGGCUUCCAAAGUGUUUUUUAAAGUGAGCAGAACUAGCUGUUCUAAAUGAGUUUGGCUUGAUAAAUUACAUCUCGGUAUCUUCAGAAAAUCAACACAAUGCUAAAACACCAUGUAUAAUAAGAACAAGCAAAUGGAGGUAAAUAUGGUAGAAAAUGGGUGGUUAAGGUAGUGGAUUUUAUGCCCCAAUAAAUAAAGAAACAGUAAUCACUGGAAAUCAGCAAAGGGUCCCCAAGAAAAUAUUUGUUGGUUCCCAGUCAUUUAUGAAAGAUAUUCUUUGAGGCAGGCACUGUAUUAGACACUCAACAUACAAAGGUAGCUAAUUUUAGCCCUGAAGUGAGUUCAAGUUUCAUGGGGCAGCCACACCUGAGCAGCAUCUGCAUAGGUAUAGUAAUAGCUGCCUUCAGGACCUAUGGAAAACUUUACCCUAAAGCUGGUGAUUAAUAGAUCAGUGUUUACCCAAAGAUACACUUAAAGUAACAAGCACUGAUCUUUUUCUCUUUUCUCUUCACCUACUUUUGUUAGUGAUAUAUAUCAUGAUAUUGGAGAGAGAGUUAUAUCGGUGGCUGAAUCAAAGUUGGGAGGGAUGGUAAAGAUGGUAAGUAGGAUCUACAACUCUUUGUGGUUGCAAUAAUAAAAACAAAAUUCAAUCAGAUGAAUGUAACGUUCUGUACACGAGCCUUAAGUCCCAGUGUCCCUAGGUAGAGGUUACCGCAAGAUGCAGUCCAAAAGGAAAGAACUUUCUAACAAUCGGAGCCAUUGUCCAGAAGUGGAACAGACUAUCCUGGGAGAUCACGUGCUGCCCUCACCGGAGCUCUGAAGCAGAGGCCGGAAACCCCCGUGGAUGCGGUGAGAUCUCAGCGUUGUGUUGUUUCACACACCCUGGCCUCAACCACAUGAAGAAUCUUAUUUGUCUGUUGUUGGGUCAAGAGAUGUUCCCUCCAGCUGUUGAGAAUCUUGUCGCCUGGGUAAAAUAACAGGGCAUAUUUUACAAGAGCUAUUAAUAUGGGCUGUAAGUGUGCUGUGAGGCACCAGGCCAACAGCUGGAUGGAAAUGGCAGGUUCUGGGCCAGCUGAAACCCUGCUUUCAAGUGUUGCAUGUUGCGCACACACACAUAAACACACAUACAUGUGCGCACACGCAUACACACAACCAGCUUGGGAAUGUUAAACGGCUCCAGAUUUAUUUUUUAAUAUGAACUAAAAUGUGGAGUGUGGCCUAGAGGUACACAGAACCCGGCGAGCCUGCUCCUUCACGCCACAGGCCGGAGGCAUCUGGCCCAGGCCUAAAAGCUCCUGGAGCUCCACGAAGAUGAAGGGUUCGGGAAGGCAUGCCCUCCUCCUCAGCCAGGUGACUGGGCAGAGGAACCGCAGAGCAACCCGGGCCGUCACAGCAUCUGGGUGAUUACCUAGUCAGAUUGCCACCGCACAACAGUGAGAUCUCUCUUCUUCAGGCAGUCAACGUCCCUUGGUGAGUCAUUAGAAAAAGUAAGAUGCUACCUAGAUUCUACAUAAAAUACAAACACUUGUAUUUUAUGUUCCAUCCCUCAGCCAUCAUGUUCCUGUCUCACAAAAGUCAGAUUUACUCCGGUCAUGACCGAAAGGAAAGGGCGGCGGAAUGGUAACACAUUGCUCUGCAGCUUCCAGAAUGUCGUCUUAGGGAAACGGGACUGGGGACUGCCGUUUGCAAGCUUUCGGUUUAAAAUGAUUAAUAAGGGGAGGCGGGAGGCAGGAGGAAGAGGUGUCGUUUUUGUCUCUGCUAUUGUUCUGCAGUCGUUUCUGUGAUGUUCGAACGACACUUAAUCAGUCGGGGCCCCUGUUUAUCAGCUCGCCCAAGACAGGCCACGGGAUUUAUUUUGUCAAUGAGCCUUGUUGUCUUUCAGCAGCCUCCAUUCCAGAGAGGAGCGUUUACUACUUGGCUCUCUGAACAAUGUCUGAUAGAGCUAACUAAUAGCUUGCGGCUUUUUAUCCGUAUCCACAUUUUCUAUCUCGCCCAUAGCGCUGAAGGUGGAGUUGAGUGAAAUGUUUGCACUUGCUGAAAGUCUGAACUCAGACAAGGUGUCAGGAUUUUCUUACUGGGACCAGAGGCUGUCAGGCUGAUUUGAUAGGGUGCUAUUGCCAAAAUCAAAAUACAUCUGAACAGAUAGCUGCUUCUGAUGACUCGGAGAAGCAGCAGUCAAAGCAGUACCAUGAGAAUUUGUCUUCAGAACCAUCAGACUUCCCUUGCCUUACGCCUCUCCCUUCUGCCUCCAUCUUCGGGAGCUCCACGCUGUCUCCUGUGCUCUCCUACCUAUUAUAGCCGGUGCCGAGCAAAGAAGGAGAGGAAACUGAGGCUCAGAGGGGCUCAGAGUUGCUUCAAGGUCAUCGGUGGUAAAGGAUUUAGAUGGAUUUAUGACAUUGGCUGAAACGAAUCAGUGGAUAAACGAUUAUAGGAUUUGAAUGUGGUUAAGCCAAGAUUAAUGCUGCCGAUUCUUGAGAACAUAGGAGAUGACUGUCACCCAAGCAUGUGAAGACAGCAGGAUUCCUGAAUUCUCAAAAACUAAUCAUGAGCACCUCUGAGACCGACUGUUGGGUCUAUUUUCAAUAGAUUUUGCAGUUAAAAAAGUGAUCGAUGAUUCCAUUUCCUCUCCAAGAGUCAAGUGAGUUUAUCAGCUUCUGAUUCCUGCUUUCACCUAAAAUAAGGUGCUGGUCUGGGCGUUCAAGCUCAGUUUCGGGGGGAACCCACCCAAUUCAUCCUCUUUUCCUUAUUACUCACCUACCAGUUCUUUCUCACCGCCGUUGCUGCUCCGGUAGCUUUAAUGGAGGGCAGCAGCACCGAAGAGCUGCUCUACAAAUGCAGGUUUCUUCCCUGCACGGAGGAAAGAGGACCCUCUAUCACUGAAGCCUCACCUACAGACAAUUCAUCUAACAGAUUCUACUUCCUGCAUGCCAUUUGCCAGUAUUUAUCCUGUGUGUGGGCUCCCAUGGAGGAUCCUCAUAAAGGAUGGUCUUGAUAUAA